AUACCUUAAGUAAUAUUUAACGAUUUUUAUAUACUAGUUUAAUAACAUUGCAGUAAAUGCAUAUACUUGUGUUCAUAUAAUAUUUAUUAAUAAUUUAAUUGAUUAUAUUUCAAUUAACCAAAACAUUAAAAGGAUAGCGCAAACCAAGGCGCAAACGCAAUGAAAUAUAAAACGAAUAUUUUUUUUUUUUACAAAAUCUCAAUUAUAAUCAAGCAGAGACUUUAACAAUAAGACCGAGCAACGGUAAUGGGAAAAAUAAUAUACAAAUGGGGAGCAUAAUAUAUUUUUGGGAACUAUAAUUUCUUUGGAAAGAUCCAAUUACAAAAUAUGGGAUAAACACAAUUGAGAGGAUAAAGCUAACACAAGAGAUAAAAUGAAAAGAAAAUUUAUACAAUCAAUUAAACUCUAAUAUUUACAGGAUAUACUUGGAGAAAUGUGGACUAUGGAAGUUCAUUAUUUAGGACAUAAUGAUCCUUCAGAUUUUUGUUAUGAACAAAUACAUUAUACAUUGAAAGUUAACAAUAUGACUUAAACGAUUAUGUGAUGAAUAUAUUUUUUUUUAAACAAAUUAUUGAAUUUCUGAGAAAACAAUGAAACAUGGGCCCAUAUACAAAAUCGUAUGCAUAUACAAAACACUAUAUUAACAGACACAACACACUACAAAACAAUGACAAUAAAAUGUUCGAGUGCAGAUUAGUGUUGGUAAACUUAUGAAAAACUAACUUAUGAUGAAAUAUCACUCACACUCAAUUAAUACAUAAAAUUUGGUAUAGAACCAUGCAAUAUAUAUAAAAAAAAUAAAUUGAAUGAAUAAAUAAAAGUAAAUACAAAGUAGUAUAUAUUUUAAUAACAAUCUUUUGAGUUUUUCCAACACUAAUGCUGAAGAAAGUAUGAUUGGACAAGGGGAUCGCGACCCCGGAAUGUAUUUGUAUGUAUGCGAAAGAAUGUAUAACUCACUGACAAUACACACACGACGAAAUCAACAAAUGAAUCAGUUUUUGGAUAUAAAGAAAAGGAGAUAAACAUUAAUAAUGUUCAAUAACAAUACUUAUCAGUUAUUUAUGAAGUUCAGUAAUGAAAUUCAAGCUAGUAAGACCGAUGCGGGAAGUUGGGGGGAAAUCGGCAGCAAAAUUCAAAAAGAAAUACAAAAUGGCAUGUAAGACCGGUGCGAAAAGGGGAUACCGGCAAUAACCAAAAUAAGAAAAUCAAUGGGGCAAUUCAAACAUAAUACACUGUCUAUGAAAAAAAAUACGUACAUCAUUAUAAUAAUGUAAAUACAUUAUUUGGAGUUCGAUUCAUCGUAAUAUUACCAUUUUCGAAAAAGCUCAAUUAAAAAUAGUAUGAAAAAAAUAUACUUAUAUAACGAGAUGAACCAGCCGAGGGCUAAAAAUCUCCAUUAUAAAGAUAAAUAAUAAUAAUAUAAUUAUAUAUGAAGACUUUUUGAAAAAAGAGUGCGAAUUUGUACUCUAUGGUCACUAUUGAAAAAAAAAAAUGUAUUAAACACAAGAUCUAAGUAUCGUUACAGGGUCAAAUCAUAUCGGAGCAUUGAAAAGCUACAGCAGCGAAAGAUGUCUAAAAUCUGGACGCUGGAAGAAGGAAAAUGGUGAAAGCAAGAAAUUGUCUUACAGGCUUAGACAAUGGAUAUCCUACACCACCCAUGAAAAAGCUGUGGAAAAGGGGGAGUAUCCAUCCAGAUAAACCCGAUAAAACCGAAAAAGUGUAAGUAUAGUUCUAACGGAAAAGAUACAUUUCUAUUUUGGACGAGAAAUGUUACAUUCCAUUGGAAUUUCAUUUUUGGAAAUCGUGAAUACUACUCAAAAUUUGAAUCAAAAUUCCUUUACAAAUGUACAUUUUGUACAGAUUUUAAACUCAAACAUUAAUUUCAACGCAUUUCAAAAUAGUGAAACAACAAUCAAUAAUGGUCAAUAUCCCAACUAUAAUGAUUAAAAAUUUAAGAGAUAAAUAGACACAUAAAGAGUCAAUAAGGGUCACAAGGGACCACAUUAACCAAUAAGGGGAUAAAUAAUCAGGGAAAAAUAAGAAAUACAUUUUUAUACAAUACAAAAGGGAUCACUAAUUAGGGAAAAUAAGAAAUAGGUAUUACCGCGCAAAAGUGACAUUACAUAUACCUUGAGAGCUAGUGACCAGAGAAGACAUCAUCAUUCGUAGCCGACAUACCGCGGGAUCAAAGGCAAGCAACAUAUCAGUCAAACAUAUAAAAUAGCAGUCAACGGAAGGUAGAGGGUAUGGUAGAGGGUAUUGGAUAUUCUUUGGUAGAACGAGACCAUCACACACGAGAAGGUGCACAUAUGGAAAGCGAGUCAAAACAAUAUUCAUUAUUCAAAAAAUCAUAUCGUCAAAAGACGUUUAUUGAAGCCAAAUUAUGUGCUUAAAGAGAAUUAAGGAAGUUCUCAAACCAUAGCGGAAAUUUUCUGCACUGUAGGUCAUUCGAUCUAUCAUUUUUUUUGGAAAGCAUUCUACGAUUAAAAACCACGAACCUGUUUCACGAACGAUUUUGAAACAAAAAGUUUUUUUUUAACAAGAAAACAAUAUUUGCAUCAGAAAAUUCAAUUUUCAUGACCAACUGGGAGAAGUGAACGAGAGAUGAGCGGGAAAUACUCAGAAGAAGGCAACACCUGGAAAGUCGCGAUGGAUCAGCAGGAAUGGAGUAACAGUAAAACUCAUUUUUCGAGUAGAGCGGAAGUACAUCUUACCCAACUGAGGAACGAUUGCAGCAUUGAUAUCGCGACGAAGGAAGUCCAUACCUAACACCCAACGUAAGAUAUUCUAUCUGACUGGACAAGUUUAAGUAUGUGAACGUGAUAAGCAGAACUGUGAUGGAAACUUGAGGAACGAGAGGAUGACCAAUGAGGCGAAGGCGAAGGACAACAUGCUCUCAAGCGUAUCAUACAACAUGAAUGAAUUAUUAUUUCAGGAGUACAUUGGUUACGAUAAAUUGAUCAGGAAAGUUGCGUCGAGGAUAAAAUACUACCAACUUUGUUAAGAAGAAUUGUCUCCAAAGAUAUACAUAUUUCAUUUCAUUUUAUAACCAAUAUCAUUUUAUAAAUUCAUGAAUAAUAAUAACCAACGCUAACCGUUUGUAUCUUCAAUUAAAGAUAUCAAACAGCUAAUUAACGAAGGGGAUAUUGAACCAACCAUAGCCUAAUUGAUUAAUUAAUCAUUCAUUAUUCAUUAGUUAUUUGCUUUCAUUAACUGAUCAUUUGCAUCAUCAUGAGCAAGACUCAAGCUAGGAUGGUAGCUACCUACAUACGGUACAUUUAAAUUAUUGCAUCAUCAUAUGUGACAUGCGCGAAAGCGAAAUAAACAAAUCAUACGCGGUAGUUGGUCAGCGGGUGACCUAGUUUGCUUCAGCAGGUCUCUACCUGUUCUAGUUGGCAUACGGUAAGCCAAAAAGAAUGCAUAACUACCGGAGUAUAACAUAAUAAAACAUGUGACUCAUAUAAGGAAGCAUUCUAGCCGCUUCCAAUUAGAUACUAAGUAAGAGACGCGAGCUUUCUCUCUCGCGCUUUUCGAAGUACUAGAAUGUUGGUACUUUAGUAAAGAGAGCGAGAGCGGAGAAUGUGACGCUAGGCGCUUAAGUUAAGUUAAGUG